rnacentral:rRNA from 1 species
AGUUUCGAUCAGUGGCUCAGGACGAACGCUGGCGGCGUGCCUAACACAUGCAAGUCGAACGAGGUCCAUCCUUCGGGAGAAGACCUAGUGGCGAACGGGUGAGUAACACGUGAGGAACCUGCCCCGAAGACCGGGAUAACCCUCCGAAAGGAGAGCUAAUACCGGAUACCCCACCGAGCCGCAUGGUUUGGUGAGGAAAUGGAUUCCGCUUCGGGAGGGCCUCGCGGCCUAUCAGCUAGUUGGUGGGGUAACGGCCCACCAAGGGCAUCGACGGGUAGCUGGUCUGAGAGGACGAUCAGCCACACUGGGACUGAGACACGGCCCAGACUCCUACGGGAGGCAGCAGUGGGGAAUCUUGCGCAAUGGGCGAAAGCCUGACGCAGCAACGCCGCGUGGGGAUGAAGGCUCUCGGGUUGUAAACCCCUUUCAGCAGGGACGAAUCAAGACGGUACCUGCAGAAGAAGCCCCGGCUAACUACGUG